UUGUAUUAGUAUGGUUCGCUUUCUCUUGUGACUAUGGUAGGAUGGUUAAGUUAAUGUAGCCUAUAGCUUCGGUGGUAGCUAGGCUAAGUCUUGGCUUGGUGUUUUUGCUUUAGUUGUAGUAGGUAAUAGGGCAGUAAGAGAGGAAGAAGCUUAUCGAAGGAACUGACGGGGGAAGGCACGAACGCUAUAACAAUAGGGAAGGGGCUUGCUCUAAACUUCAAAAGAUAUUCUCGCAUUUCAGUGAACAAGGCAGCGAUUCGACGAUCAUAUAGUAGGUGUACCGCGGGUGGCUUUUCUCUUUUGGUUUUGAUGAAGGGAGAAGGUCUAGCUUUACUUAUUCCACUUUUUUUAGGAAUGAAAGAAUCACCAGUUAAUGCAGAAAAAGAGAUCUUAACAGCUAUCUUACUUCCUGACUUCCCGGAGUAAACUUCCUAUUGACGACUCGAAACGAAUGCUUAAAUUAAUUGAAUUUGAAAAGGUGGUUAAGUCAUUGAUAGAGAUGAAUCGAAUCCCCUAACAUUAGACUAGCUAGCCUUCGUUGGCUUGGGUGGCUUGGUUAGAUUGCUUUGAAAGCCCCAAUCAAUCAAGCCUAGUGAUCACUGAACGAUUGAUUCCUACUCUUAUUAUAUAAUAUUCUUAUUCUUUCUUCGAUGAUAUAAUAUAGAUGGUGGGAACAAUGAAGCCGAUUCUUCAUCUGUAGGUUGAAAUUCGUAUGAUUUCUUUUAUCGAUCU
rnacentral:lncRNA from 1 species